GAGGAUAUAGUUCAGUGGUAGAGCACGUGCUUUGCAUGCACGAGGCCCUAGGUUCAAUCCCAGGUACCUUCG
rfam:Camelus ferus unplaced genomic scaffold scaffold29410, whole genome shotgun sequence.